rnacentral:rRNA from 1 species
CCUACGGGUGGCAGCAGUCGAGAAUCAUUCACAAUGGGGGAAACCCUGAUGGUGCGACGCCGCGUGGGGGAAUGAAGGUCUUCGGAUUGUAAACCCCUGUCAUGUGGGAGCAAAUUAAAAAGAUAGUACCACAAGAGAAAGAGACGGCUAACUCUGUGCCAGCAGCCGCGGUAAUACAGAGGUGUCAAGCGUGGUACGGAAUCACUGGGCGUAAAGUGUGCGUAGGCGGUUUCGUAAGUCGUGUGUGAAAGGCGCGGGCUCAACCCGAGGACGGCACAUGAUACUGCGAGACUAGAGUAAUGGAGGGGGAACCGUAAUUCGCGGUGUAGCAGUGAAAUGCGUAGAUAUCGAGAGGAACACUCGUGGCGAAGGCGGGUUCCUGGACAUUAACUGACGCUGAGGCACGAAGGCCAGGGGAGCGAAAGGGAUUAGAUACCCGUGUAGUC